rnacentral:snRNA from 14 species
ACAUUUCCUUCCAAGAACAAGUACAGUAUAGGGUUAGGCCUGUCCUUUGCACUCUGGGCAGGAUGACCUCUGUGAGUCUCCUCAAAUGUGGGGAUCUCAUCUGCACAACUUUGCAGCGAAGGGGGACUAUUUUCAUGCUUUCCCCCUA